rnacentral:lncRNA from 1 species
UGGAAACAUCAGAGCGUGUAAAUGUAACAACUCAUCCAACGAUUGCUAACGACUCCAACGAAUUAUCCAUGAUGAAAAUUGAAUUGCGUCAAUUGCAACUAACUCAACGAUUUGUCAUAAUUGUUAAUGUUAUGUAUGCGGUGUUGUUGUUAAUGUUAUUAAAUCGGUUGUAAUUUUUACAAUUUCAUUAUGCUGUGUUGUUGUUAAUGUUAUUAAAUCGGUUGUAAAUUUUGAUAAUUUUCAUUAACUAGUCAACACUUUAUGUAUGAGAUAUGUGCAUUUAUAGGUAUUGAAUGAGAUUUCCGACUAUGUUGCUUCAAAU